rfam:Ovis aries breed Texel chromosome 14, whole genome shotgun sequence.
UGGCUCAGGUGGUAAAGAAUCUGCCUGCAAUGCAGGAGACCCAGGUUCGACUCCUGG